UGGUUUCUCAAAUUUGGCUUUGUCUAACCAAAUAAAAUGACUAUGUUAUUCAAAAAUUCCUAAAGUUGAUUUUUUGCUAUUAACAAGGAGGUGCAUAGAAGACUGUGAUUGAUAUGAGAUCUAAUUAGAAUAUACAACCAUGGCAAUAAACAACAAAUAUAAGAAUGAAACUAGCUAAUCUUGUGUAUAAAUUAGAAUG
rnacentral:lncRNA from 1 species